rnacentral:rRNA from 1 species
GAGGAAUUUUGCGCAAUGGGGGAAACCCUGACGCAGCAACGCCGCGUGAGUGAUGAAGGCUUUCGGGUCGUAAAGCUCUGUCAAGUGGGAAGAACCCACAUGAUGAUAAUACCAUUAUGUGUUGACGGUACCA